rnacentral:rRNA from 1 species
UACGUAGGGGGCAAGCGUUGUUCGGAUUUACUGGGCGUAAAGGGCGCGUAGGCGGCGCGUAAAGUCGGACAUGAAAUCAUUAGGCUUAACCUGAUGGCUGUGCCCGAUACUUACGUGCUUGGAGUGCGGGAGAGGCAAUCGGAAGUCUCGGUGUAGCGGUGAAAUGCGUAGAUAUCGAGAGGAACUCCGGUGACGAAGGUGGGUUGCUGGACCGACACUGACGCUGAGGCGCGAAAGCUAGGGGAGCAAACAGG